rnacentral:RNase_P_RNA from 1 species
UCAGACGGCCGGACGGCUGCGGGCCCUUCCAUUGGAUCGGGGCUCGAGGAAAGUCCGGGCUCCAUGGAGACAAGGCGCCGGGUAACGCCCGGCCGGGCUUUUCAGCGAUGAAGGGCCUGAGGGAAAGCGCCGCAGAGAACGAACCGCCUUCUCCGGAAGGUAAGGGUGAAAAGGUGCGGUAAGAGCGCACCGCUCGUCCGGCGACGGAUGAGGCAUGGCAAGCCCCGCCUGGAGCAAUGCCGAAUAGGGACCGCGCGUCUUCGGACAAGGGCGUCUCCGCCCCGAGCGGUCCGGGUAGGCAGCUGGAGGCGAUGCGCAAGCAUCGUCCAAGAUGAAUAGUCGUCGCCUUUAACGAGGUACAGAACCCGGCUUACAGGCCGUCUGACGCA